GACGAACGCUGGCGGCGUGCCUAAUACAUGCAAGUAGAACGCUGAAGGAGGAGCUUGCUUCUCUGGAUGAGUUGCGAACGGGUGAGUAACGCGUAGGUAACCUGCCUGGUAGCGGGGGAUAACUAUUGGAAACGAUAGCUAAUACCGCAUAAGAGUAGAUGUUGCAUGACAUUUGCUUAAAAGGUGCAAUUGCAUCACUACCAGAUGGACCUGCGUUGUAUUAGCUAGUUGGUGAGGUAACGGCUCACCAAGGCGACGAUACAUAGCCGACCUGAGAGGGGGAUCGGCCACACUGGGACUGAGACACGGCCCAGACUCCUACGGGAGGCAGCAGAAGGGAAUCUGCGGCAAUGGACGGAAGUCUGACCGAGCAACGCCGCGUGAGUGAAGAAGGUUUUCGGAUCGUGAAGCUCUGUUGUAAGAGAAGAACGAGUGUGAGGGUGGAAAGUUCACACUGUGACGGUAUCUUACCAGAAAGGGGCGGCUAACUACGUG
rnacentral:rRNA from 1 species